ensembl:miRNA Mir7015 microRNA 7015
UGCCCUCUGUGCAGUAGGCUGUGGGUUCCAUGCUGACUGACUUUCUCACUGUCCUCUGCACUAG